GAGGCUUGCAGGUCCAAACCACUGGUAGCAGCCCCUGGUAUAUCCAGGACAUCAGCACAUAGAACCAGUGAAAGGGUCCUCCCUCAUAGUGACGCAUGUCAUAGACUCAGAUUUAUACAAACAAAUGCUGAGCAAACCAUGAAGAGUCUCUGGUAUUUUCAACAAUAUCAUCACAGAGGAACUGUAUUGAUUUCCUUGCACGUUCAGGGUACUGGGAGAGGCAACAGGGAUGGAGGUCCCAUGUCAGGGGACUUCACAGUGUGACGGGAAUGUUCAACCUGCACCUGUUCCUUGCACCAUACUCCAUCCAGCUCUCCGCUCUUCCAGUCAUUUAUGCUCCUGUCUUCCGUGGAGGAAGUCUGGUAGUAUCUCCCCGGGACACUGGCUCAAAUUUCCAGCCACCUGCCCAAGACAGAUGGGACCAGGGGCCAGAUGAUGUGGACAAUGAUGAUGUCACAAAGAGAACCUUCAGUGGUCCAAGAACCUGCUGCUCCCGGGUCCUCUCAUUUGAAGACACCCACCGCCUAAGGAUGAAGAGAAGCUCCUUCUUGCAGAUCUGAGGCUGAUUUCCCAACUCCCAGGAACACCCUACCCACAGCCUGUUCCCCAGACCCAGGAACUUUUCAAAUGUAGAGGAGCCUUUAGAAGGAAGCCUUGAGCAUGAGGACAGACCCCCCUCAUCCAACCACCACCUGACUCUGUGUGAACCUGGAACUGUUAGAAUGUCUGUGCUGUGAUAAAAGGUCAUCUCCCUACAAUGUUAUGAUACAGACCUCAAACCUACAAACAUGAGGAACUUCUGCCUCCAGGUUAACUGCUUACCCACUGUACAAGACACGUUACACACAGUCCAGGAGGCGGAGCUUCUGAGAUAUCUAGAAACAGCUUAGAGGCAAAAUGACAAAAUAAAGCAGCAACAACAAAUAAAA
ensembl:lncRNA LINC01255 long intergenic non-protein coding RNA 1255